rfam:Scleropages formosus scaffold15089, whole genome shotgun sequence.
CCAAAGGCUCUUUUAAGAGCCACCCAUUUCUUCCUGUAAGGGGCAA